CGCCAUUCCCCGCGCUUUCAGCAGACGCAGCCCAUUCAGGAGGUAAAAGGAGUAAAGAUCCUUCCUUCGGAGGAUGUAGCUAUACUUGCACAUUCACAGCAUCACUAGGGUCAGGUGCAGAUAAUUAGGAGAUACUUUCAGAAGAAGGUAGGAUUUGGCAUAAUUCUGGAGACUGAUCAGAUGUAGAUAUGUAUUGCUCAGUAAUUUCAUAAUAGCGGUAACCAAUUCGCGAAUAGUGCUUUAUUAUCCUAAAAGUAUGCUUUAUUAUAAGAGUAAUUUAGCGACCAGUACUUUUUGUAACAGAUCACUAGGAACUUGCACAGAAUCACUCAUUCAUUCUCACAACACCGUGUGGGUAUUACCAUCACAGAGAUGCAUUUAGUCCGAUAUUUAUAGAAGGACGAACUGCGUGCCACGCACUGUUCUAGGCGUUGGGGAUCCAGCGUGAACCAGACAAGGCCCGCAUUCGGAGAAACCAGCAAAUAAGCCCGGAGAGAUGAAAUGCCAGGGAUGGGCAGGGAUUCCAAGCCGGGCUUGAACCCAGGUCUUCGGUCCCCAUACUCGGCGUCUUCCACGAUUUUGAGCAGAGGACAAGCUUUGGCACGAAUCAGAAAUUAGGUUGAAGAACUGGGCGGGGCGGAGUGGGGGUGGGGGUCAGACGUUUAAAGCGAUCUCAGACUGGCUGAGGUUUGCAGUGGGCGCGCAGACAGUGCUUUCCCCCUCGCGCCACUUCCCUCCGGCGCGGAGACUGGGUGGGGCGGGGGAGCGAGUGUGGGGCGGGGCCGAGAAACUGCGUCCGCAGGCGGGGUGGCCGCUGCGGAGAUAGCUGGGACCGAGGCGCGUGCGUCGCGACACGGACCCCAGAGGCCCCCACCCCGAAAUGGUCCCGAGGAGAGGGAUUGCCCAGACUGCACUCUACACACGAUCCCUCUUUUCUAUAUCAAAAGAGGAAACAUUUCAGUCUGGAGUGUUCCAGAGGUAGUUCGGAGGCAGGGAACCUUUUCUCUACAGAGCAUGACUUUCCCCCUUUGUCUGGGACCCCUCCCUAAUGUUGGUGGUUAAAGGUUCUCAUCUACUCUGCACUUUCACUGACACAGGAAAGAUGAUAUCCGGGCCGGGAGAUGGGACUCUCAGAAACGAACGAGUUAGGACACACACUAAUGGCCAGAUAAAAUCAAUUCUAAUAUUACAUUUGUAGAAUUAAAAAAAAAAAAAGAAACUCCAGGUUCUUGGAGGGUGGUGGCUGGAAGAGGUUU
rnacentral:lncRNA from 1 species